GCAGGAGAGUGGGAGAGUGGGAGAGUGAGACAGGAAAAAAGAUAAAUAAAAAGCUCCAGAUUCCAGAAGAGACAGUAAAAGAAGGAGGAGGCUGGCAGCUGUUCAGGGAUCCACAUUAACUUUAUUUGUUGCUAAGAAAGCAGUGAGCUGAUGAUGGACUAAUCCUCAGAAUGUAUGCAAUUAAAAACUUUCCACCCUUUUGAAAAAACUCCAGAUGGGCGACCUGCUUGACCAGCUCAGGUUAUUAGGUGAAAAGCAGAUGUGAAAUCCACCAGGGUCCAUUCUGAAUCUCUCCCUAGAGCAGCUCUUUCCUGUGGCAGCCCCAUUCCCCACAGCCUGCUGUCGCGUUAGCUUUAGCGCCCCCCACUGCCUGUUUCACGACUUGGUUCACAUUCACAAGUCUGACCCGUCUAUAAAACCCAGCGCAGACUCGGGACUUUGUGUCUGGCAGACUGGUGAGACGCACAAGCGGAAAUAUUGAGUGCUUAUUCCAGAAGCCAUUAACAUGACAAACCACCAACAGUGCUGGAGCUCUCAGUGCAGUUCCCUACAGGCCACGCGGGCAGGGA
rnacentral:lncRNA from 1 species